rnacentral:rRNA from 1 species
GAUGAACGCUGGCGGCGUGCCUAAUACAUGCAAGUCGAGCGAACAGACGAGGAGCUUGCUCCUCUGACGUUAGCGGCGGACGGGUGAGUAACACGUGGAUAACCUACCUAUAAGACUGGGAUAACUUCGGGAAACCGGAGCUAAUACCGGAUAAUAUAUUGAACCGCAUGGUUCAAUAGUGAAAGACGGUUUUGCUGUCACUUAUAGAUGGAUCCGCGCCGCAUUAACUAGUUGGUAAGGUAACGGCUUACCAAGGCAACGAUGCGUAACCGACCUGAGAGGGUCAUCGGCCACACUGGAACUGAGACACGGUCCAGACUCCUAAGGGAGGCAGCAGUAGGGAAUCUUACGCAAUGGGCCAAAGCCUGACGGAGCAACGCCGCGUGAGUCAUGAAGGUCUUCGGAUCGUAAAACUCUGUUAUUAGGGAAGAACAAAUGUGUAAGUAACUGUGCACGUCUUGACGGUACCUAAUCAGAAAGCCACGGCUAACUACGUG